rnacentral:rRNA from 1 species
GCUACACAUGCAGUCGAGCGGUAACAGAUCUAGCUUGCUAGGAUGCUGACGAGCGGCGGACGGGUGAGUAAUGCAUAGGAAUCUGCCCGAUAGUGGGGGAUAACCUGGGGAAACCCAGGCUAAUACCGCAUACGUCCUACGGGAGAAAGGGGGCUCCGGCUCCCGCUAUGGGAUGAGCCUAUGUCGGAUUAGCUAGUUGGUGAGGUAACGGCUCACCAAGGCCACGAUCCGUAGCUGGUCUGAGAGGAUGAUCAGCCACAUCGGGACUGAGACACGGCCCGAACUCCUACGGGAGGCAGCAGUGGGGAAUAUUGGACAAUGGGGGAAACCCUGAUCCAGCCAUGCCGCGUGUGUGAAGAAGGCCCUCGGGUUGUAAAGCACUUUCAGCGAGGAAGAACGCCUAGCGGUUAAUACCCGCUAGGAAAGACAUCACUCGCAGAAGAAGCACCGGCUAACUCCGUGCCAGCAGCCGCGGUAAUACGGAGGGUGCAAGCGUUAAUCGGAAUUACUGGGCGUAAAGCGCGCGUAGGUGGCUUGAUAAGCCGGUUGUGAAAGCCCCGGGCUCAACCUGGGAACGGCAUCCGGAACUGUCAAGCUAGAGUGCAGGAGAGGAAGGUAGAAUUCCCGGUGUAGCGGUGAAAUGCGUAGAGAUCGGGAGGAAUACCAGUGGCGAAGGCGGCCUUCUGGACUGACACUGACACUGAGGUGCGAAAGCGUGGGUAGCAAACAGGAUUAGAUACCCUGGUAGUCCACGCCGUAAACGAUGUCGACCAGCCGUUGGGUGCCUAGCGCACUUUGUGGCGAAGUUAACGCGAUAAGUCGACCGCCUGGGGAGUACGGCCGCAAGGUUAAAACUCAAAUGAAUUGACGGGGGCCCGCACAAGCGGUGGAGCAUGUGGUUUAAUUCGAUGCAACGCGAAGAACCUUACCUACUCUUGACAUCCUGCGAUUCGGUAGAGAUACCUUAGUGCCUUCGGGACGCAGAGACAGGUGCUGCAUGCUGUCGUCAGCU